GGUUGCGACGGCGCCGGGGCAUAAGCCUGGUUCUGGCUCGCGUAACCGCCGUUCGAACCGGCGUCGUAGCCGCC
rnacentral:tRNA from 1 species